UAAAUUUUUGUCUAUUUUAUUUUUAUAGGAAUGUAUGAUAAGCUCUGAUAGCAAGUCAUCAUGAUAAACAAGAGAUGAAAAAAAAAAGAUAAACAAGAGAUGGUAUGUAUCAGAUGAGAGAAAUCACUUCCCCUCAGACCCUGAUGGAGACAACUCUGGACUCUGAGUCAAAGAACCUCCGGAAUAACUUGCAUCCAUUUUUGAAGGGAGCUACCACUGUUCUGCAACUACUGUUGAAGGAAACAGGCACCAUGGAGAAAGAGACCAGCUGCUGAUCCAAGAUCAGAGACCUUUUGGAGCAUUGUGUUCAGUUCUGGGAAUCACAGUUUAAGGACACUGAUAAAAUGAAGAGUAUAGGGGGGAAAGCAACAAUAUGAAGAUUAUUUAAAGAAUCAAGGCAUGUUUAGCUUGGAGAAGAGAAGACAAAUAUUUAAAAGGCUCUUAUGUAGAAAGGAGUCAUUAGACUUCUGUUUAAGCUUAGAGGUCAGAAUGAAGAACAAUGGGACAAAACUGCAAAAAAAAAAAAAAAAAGCUAAUUCAGGAAAAAUGUUAGGAAAAGAGAUCUAACAUUCAGAGGUAUUCAGAAGUGGAAUGGAUUGUCUCACUGAUGAUAGGUUCCCCUCCUUAGAAUUCUUUAAGCAGAGAUUUGUUGGGUAUGUGUAGUAGAACUAUGUUCAGCUAUGAGUUGAAUCAAAAGACUGCUGAGGUCACUUCAAAUUUAAAUUCUGUGAUUUUUCUGAAUGAAAAUUGAAGGAAAUCCCAUCACAAGUACCUCUUUAUUCCCAGAAUGAUUAUUUAAUGCCAAUAUUGAUUGUCUCAGGAUUUCUGAUUUCUGGUGGGUUCCUUCUCUAAUCUUAGUCUGGGUUCUGCUUUCUACUCUGAUUAAGUUUGCCUCAGUUUAUGUGUCUUUCUCCAGAAGCAAAUAUGAAUACCUACAUCUUGGGGGUACAUGUGACCUAAGUAUAUGUGACUGAGGAGUGAAAUGUAACUAUGACUAUUUGGUAGACUCCCCAGAUCACAACUUCUUGGAUUCCAAUUGUCAUCUCCAGUUUUCCUGUUUUUGUUUUGGCAAUAUUCUAGGUAAUGGAGAAAUUGGUUAAAGAAUGACUUAAACAGAGGAGAACAGGGAGAACAGGACUUGAAGAGUCAGCUUGGCUCAGAGAUAGGUUUAUAAUAAAAAUUGGACUUUUCCAGCUAUCCUCUCAUCUUCAUUUCCCUGGGGGCAUCUUGUUCCUGAUGGAAAUCUUAAUCCAUGAUAUACAAUGAGCACAAGGUUUAGAAUAGUCCAAGGGGAAGUAGGAUUCACAUAGAAUGCCCUGAGGGUAGAGAACAGAUUAUUACUAGAGAGAGGAAGAGCUUCAGUUUGGAGAAGGAAGUUAGCAAGUAUCCUUGGCUUCCAUCAGCUUUUAUAUCCUCUUUCCCAGGGCAAUGUCCUUGUGUCAGACUUUUUGAUGACCUCGUGGUAGGCAGCAAGUUUAGCUUGAAUGAUCUACUCUUUGCAAGGAUAAUCUCUACACACUAUAUCCCAAUUCCAACCCUGGAUCAUACUUCCUAAUACUCAGGAAUAAUAAGGAGUCAGCCAAGGGAUUGAGGCUGAGACUACCAACUUUCUACUGUGAGAAAUGAUAUGGUCCUCAAUGCUCUUAAGGCUUAGGGGAAGAACACACUAUGGAGGAAACACUUGCAGAUAAAGGUGAGAAAGGAAAGGAUGAAGAUUUCAGCAAAAGGAAUGGAAUCCUAGCAGAGAAAUUGGCACCCUGAAGGAAGAACUGUCCAUGAAGUCAGUGAUGGUGAUGUAGGAGAAAGUAUACUGGAAAAAAUGUGGAGUUAAGAGUUAGAAGAUUCAAUCAAUUCUGAUGAAUGUGACUUUCCAACAGUGAGAUGACUGGUGCCAGUGCCAAUGAUCUUGUGACAAAGAG